rnacentral:miRNA from 1 species
ACUUAGUCUGAACACUAUAAAAAA